UCCAAGGCUAAAUACUCUCUAAUGACCGAUAGUGAACAAGUACCGUGAGGGAAAGGCGAAAAGAACCCCGGGAGGGGAGUGAAAUAGAACCUGAAAUCGUAUGCAUACAAGCAGUAGGAGCGGAUUUAUUUCGUGACUGCGUACCUUUUGUAUAAUGGGUCAGCGACUUACUUCUCAGUAGCAAGGUUAACCAAUAGGGGAGCCGUAGGGAAACCGAGUCUUAAAUGGGCGUUUAGUUGCUGGGAGUAGACCCGAAACCGGGUGAUCUAUCCAUGGCCAGUGUGAAGGUUAGGUAAAACUAACUGGAGGCGCGAACCCACUUAUGUUGAAAAAUGAGGGGAUGAGCUGUGGAUAGGGGUGAAAGGCCAAACAAACCCGGAGAUAGCUGGUUCUCUCCGAAAUCUAUUUAGGUAGAGCCUCAUGUAUUACUGUCGGGGGUAGAGCGCUGUUAUGGCUAGCGGGUCGUCAAGGCUUAGCAAACCAUUGCAAACUCCGAAUACCGACAAGUAUGAGCAUGGGAGACACACUGCGGGUGCUAACGUCCGUAGUGGAAAGGGAAACAACCCAGACCGUCAGCUAAGGUCCCAAAAUUGUAGUUAAGUGGGAAACGAUGUGAAAAGGCCCAGACAGCCAGGAGGUUGGCUUAGAAGCAGCCAUUCCUUUAAAGAGUGCGUAAUAGCUCACUGGUCGAGUCGGUUUGCGCGGAAGAUUUAACGGGGCUAAAACUACAUACCGAAGCUACGGAUCGCAAUUUAUUGCGAUGGUAGGAGAGCGUUCUGUAAGCCGUUGAAGGUGAACUGUGAGGUUUGCUGGAGGUAUCAGAAGUGCGAAUGCUGACAUGAGUAACGAUAAAGGGGGUGAAAAACCCCCUCGCCAGAAGUCCAAGGUUUCCUACGCAACGUUAAUCGGCGUAGGGUUAGUCGGUCCCUAAGGCGAGGCAGAAAUGCGUAGUCGAUGGGAAAUGGGUUAAUAUUCCCAUACUUCAUAUAACUGCGAUGGGAAGACGGAGAAGGUUAACGUAGCUUGGCGAUGGUUGUCCAAGUUCAAGCGUGUAGAGUAGGUUCUUAGGAAAAUCCGGGAACCUUAGAUUUAGUUCUAAAGCUCAAGGCGUGAUAACGAUCCCUCUUUUGGGAGAAGUGCGUGAUACCAUGCUUCCAGGAAAAUCCUCUAAGCUUCAGGUUAUGUGAAACCGUACCCCAAACCGACACAGGUGGACGAGAUGAGAAUUCUAAGGCGCUUGAGAGAACUCGGGUGAAGGAACUAGGCAAAAUGACACCGUAACUUCGGGAGAAGGUGUGCUCUUGCCGGUGAUUUUACUUGCUAAAUGAGCUGGUAAGAGUUGAAGAUACCAGGUGGCUCCGACUGUUUAUUAAAAACACAGCACUCUGCAAACACGUAAGUGGACGUAUAGGGUGUGACGCCUGCCCGGUGCUUGAAGGUUAAUUGAUGAGGUUAGGAUUCGUCCGAAGCUUUUGAUUGAAGCCCAAGUAAACGGCGGCCGUAACUAUAACGGUCCUAAGGUAGCGAAAUUCCUUGUCGGGUAAGUUCCGACCUGCACGAAUGGCGUAACGAGGGCCACACUGUCUCCACCCGAGACUCAGUGAAAUUGAAAUUGCUGUUAAGAUGUAGUGUACCCGCGGCCAGACGGAAAGACCCCGUGCACCUUUACUACAGCUUUGCAUUGAACUCUGAUCCUACCUGUGUAGGAUAGGUGGGAGGCUUUGAAGCUUGGACGCUAGUUCGAGUGGAGCCACCCUUGAAAUACCACCCUGGUAUGGUUGGGGUUCUAACCUAGGUCCAUUAUCUGGAUCGGGGACAAUGCAUGGUGGG
rnacentral:rRNA from 1 species